GUAGGUGGCAAGCGUUGUCCGGAAUUAUUGGGCGUAAAGCGCGCGCAGGCGGUCCUUUAAGUCUGAUGUGAAAGCCCACGGCUCAACCGUGGAGGGUCAUUGGAAACUGGGGGACUUGAGUACAGAAGAGGAAAGCGGAAUUCCAAGUGUAGCGGUGAAAUGCGUAGAGAUUUGGAGGAACACCAGUGGCGAAGGCGGCUUUCUGGUCUGUAACUGACGCUGAGGCGCGAAAGCGUGGGGAGCAAACAGGGAUUCGAUACCCUGGUAGUCCACGCCGUAAACGAUGAGUGCUAAGUGUUAGGGGGUUUCCCGCCCCUUAGUGCUGCAGCUAACGCAUUAAGCACUCCGCCUGGGGAGUACGGCCGCAAGGCUG
rnacentral:rRNA from 1 species